UACGAAGGGGGCUAGCGUUGUUCGGAUUUACUGGGCGUAAAGCGCGCGUAGGCGGCUUUGUAAGUUAGAGGUGAAAGCCCGGAGCUCAACUCCGGAACUGCCUUUAAGACUGCAUCGCUUGAAUCCAGGAGAGGUGAGUGGAAUUCCGAGUGUAGAGGUGAAAUUCGUAGAUAUUCGGAAGAACACCAGUGGCGAAGGCGGCUCACUGGACUGGUAUUGACGCUGAGGUGCGAAAGCGUGGGGAGCAAACAGG
rnacentral:rRNA from 1 species